GCGGGCAUAGCUCAGUGGUAGAGCGUGACCUUGCCAAGGUCGAUGUCGCGUGUUCGAGUCACGUUGCCCGCU
rnacentral:tRNA from 1 species